AACUGUUAACAGUGCAUUACGUGGUGGUGGGACCAAACGUGUGAAAAUUCCGUGUAGCCACCACGGAAAACAAAGCCAAUGCAAAGUCAAUGAGAAGAUGACGUAGCAUUACGAGCAACUAUU